GCCGUGAUAGCUCAGCUGGGAGAGCGAUAGACUGAAGCUAACCUUCAGAUCAUCUACAGGUCGUUGGUUCAAAUCCGACUCAUGGCA